UACAGAGGGUGCAAACGUUGUUCGGAAUUACUGGGCGUAAAGCGCGUGUAGGCUGCUUGGAAAGUCGGAUGUGAAAGCCCUGGGCUCAACCCAGGAAGUGCACUCGAAACUUCCGAGCUCGAGUUCUGGAGAGGAUAGCGGAAUUCUCGGUGUAGAGGUGAAAUUCGUAGAUAUCGAGAGGAACACCGGUGGCGAAGGCGGCUAUCUGGACAGAAACUGACGCUGAGACGCGAAAGCGUGGGGAGCAAACAGG
rnacentral:rRNA from 1 species